CCUACGGGUGGCAGCAGUGGGGAAUAUUGGGCAAUGGGCGCAAGCCUGACCCAGCAACGCCGCGUGAAGGAAGAAUGCUUUCGGGUUGUAAACUUCUUUUCUGAGGGACGAAAAAAGUGACGGUACCUCAGGAAUAAGCCACGGCUAACUACGUGCCAGCAGCCGCGGUAAUACGUAGGUGGCAAGCGGUAUCCGGAUUUAUUGGGUGUAAAGGGCGUGUAGGCGGGAAAUUAAGUCAGAUGUGAAAACUCAGGGCUCAACCCUGAGCAUGCAUUUGAAACUGUUUUUCUUGAGUGCUGGAGAGGCAAUCGGAAGUCGGGGUGUAGCGGUGAAAUGCGUAGAUAUACGGAGGAACACCAGUGGCGAAGGCGGAUUGCUGGACAGUAACUGACGCUGAGGCGCGAAAGCGUGGGGAGCAAACAGGAUUAGAUACCCUAGUAGUC
rnacentral:rRNA from 1 species